UUUAGCAGGACAACGUCCAGGAAUCCCAGGCGUCAUCGGGACGGAGUGCCAACCCAUCACAGGGCACACACACUCUCAUUCACUCACGCAGUCACACACUACGGACAAUUUUCCAGAGAUGCCAAUCAACCUACCAUGCAUGUCUUUGGACUAGGGGAGGAAACCGGAGUACCCGGAGGAAACCCCCGAGGCACGGGGAGAACAUGCAAACUCCACACACACAAGGCGGAGGCGGGAAUCGAACCCCCAACCCUGGAGGUGUGAGGCGAACGGGCUAACCACUAAGCCACCGUGCCCCCCAUAAUGAAACUAACUAAUGAUAAACUACUACAAGGUUCUGGAUCUGGUUGGAUCCUGAGUUUCCAUUGUUUUCCCCAUGUUUGUGUGGUUUUUCUUAAGAUUCUCUGGUUUCCAUACACCAUUUGGUUAUACUGGCAAUGCUAAAUUACUCCUAGGUGUCAUGUGUGUGUAUUAUGCCAUUUGGGGUGAAGUCUCCCUCUUUGCACCCAGGCUUUCCAAGCUAGGUCCUGCAUACCCCACUACCCAUGAUAAAGUGGUUACUAAAGAUAAAUAAUGAAUAGGUAAUGAUUUAAUACUUACGCCCCACCAGGAACUCUCACACUGCCCACUCUGUCACAGAAACCAUGUGCCCACAGAGUGGGGACAUCAUCCUCAUGGAUCUCCAUCUUGUUGCCCUGGAAA